rnacentral:snRNA from 1 species
GUGUUCAUUUUGGCAGCACAUCGACUAACAUUGGAACUACACAGGGAAGAUUAGCAUGGUCCCUGUGCAAGAAUGACAUGGAAAUUUUUGAAGCAUUCUCUGCCUUU